rnacentral:lncRNA from 1 species
CCUGAUAAGUCCCUGAGCCGAGAUCAAAACAUUGCACCUCAUGUGUGGAAGCCCUUUCAUUUGCAAUGAUGGAUGUCUCUUUGGUUUUUCAGCCCAUCUCUCCCCAGCAAUCUGCAACGCUUCUGCUUUUGCGUGUCUUUCAUUGAACCACGCAACAAGCCUGUAGAAGGUGAAUUCAACGAUUGCGUUCACAGGCAUACCACGUAUCCCCAAUAACAACUUAUUGAAUGACUCGGACAUGUUACUGCACUGAAAC